rnacentral:rRNA from 1 species
UAUGUGAUCGUCUCUCGCAUAUCAAUAAGCGGAGGAAAAGAGGGCUAUUACCUACGCUUAGGAUGUUGACGAGACUGUCGAUCUCAUCUAUACAUGACUCUGUGCAUAUCAAUAAGCGGAGGAAAAGAGGGCUAUUACCUACGCUUAGGAUGUUGACGAGACUGUCGAUCUCAUCUAUACAUGACUCUGCGCAUAUCAAUAAGCGGAGGAAAAGGAGUAUACCUACGCUUAGGAUGUUGACGAGACUGUCGAUCUCAUCUAAUACAUGACUCUGUGCAUAUCAAUAAGCGGAGGAAAAGAAACUAACAAGGAUUCCCCUAGUAACGGCGAGUGAAGCGGGAAGAGCUCAAAUUUGAAAUCUUAAAGGGUUUCCCUUUACGAAUUGUAGUUUAAAGAAGUGUUUUCUGUUGAGGUUUUGGUAAAAGUUCUUUGGAAUAGGACAUCAUAGAGGGUGAGAAUCCCGUAUUUGACCUUUACUUUCAACUUUGUGAUACACUUUCAAAGAGUCGGAUUGUUUGGGAAUGCAGUCCAAAAUGGGUGGUAAAUUUCAUCUAAAGCUAAAUAUUGGCGAGAGACCGAUAGCGAACAAGUACCGUGAGGGAAAGAUGAAAAGAACUUUGAAAAGAGAGUUAAACAGUACGUGAAAUUGUCAAAAGGGAAGCGUUUGACACCAGUGUUGUUUUUCUGAAAAUCAAUUAAAGAACUGUUUAUGCUAAGCUGUUUAGACUUUAUCAGCUAUCUGUUUAGUUUUGAGCUUUUCUUUAAUGCACUUUUCAGUUAACAAGUCAACAUCAAUUUCUUUUGCUGUAAAAAAGCUUGAGGAAGGUGGCUUGAGAUUCGUCUUAAGUGUUUAUAGCCUCUUGCCUAUGCAGUCGGAGAGAUUGAGGUCUGCAGCGUAGAUCCUUCGGGGCUAAAUGCAUUUGUGCUAAGUUAUAGCAUUUUAUAGACAACUUGUUGACUAUGAUUUGUCUUGUAGCUUACUCGCUUAUGUUAUUUUACCUACGCUUAGGAUGUUGAUCUACAGAGCGAGAGU